UCCUGUCGGUGGCCUACAAGAACG
rnacentral:misc_RNA from 1 species